rfam:Plasmodiophora brassicae isolate e3 genome assembly, contig: scaffold_161
GGCGCCGUAGCUGAGUGGUACAGCAGCGGUACGUUCAACCGUUGGCCCUGGGUUCGAUUCCCAGCGGCGCCC